rnacentral:rRNA from 1 species
GACGAACGCUGGCGGCGUGGAUUAGGCAUGCAAGUCGAACGGUAUCAUCCUUUCGGGGGUGAGAGAGUGGCGAACUGGUGAGUAACACGUAGGUUAUCUACCCUCAAGACGGGGACAACCCAGGGAAACUUGGGCUAAUACCGGAUGUGAGCAACUUUUAGUUGUUUGAAAGGUGGCGUAAGCUGUCGCUUGGGGAUGAGCCUGCGUCCUAUUAGUUAGUUGGUGAGGUAACGGCUCACCUAGGCAAUGAUAGGUAGGCGGCCUUAACGGGUGGUCGCCCACACUGGGAUUGAGAUACGGCCCAGACUCCUACGGGAGGCAGCAGUCGAGAAUAGUCUACAAUGGUCGGAAGACUGAUAGUGCGACGCCGCGUGAACGAUGAAUCCCUUCGGGGUGUAAAGUUCUUUUAUAUGUGAGCAGUGCUUCUUAUAUUAACAGUAUGGGGAGAGAGAUAUUAGCAUAUGAAUAAGCAAGGCUAACUCCGUGCCAGCAGCCGCGGUAA